UCGGGAAUUUUGGGCAAUGGGCGAAAGCCUGACCCAGCAACGCCGCGUGAAGGAUGAAGUCUCUCGGGAUGUAAACUUCGUAAGAAUAGGAAGAAUAAAUGACGGUACUAUUUGUAAGGUCCGGCUAACUACGUGCCAGCAGCCGCGGUAAUACGUAGGGACCAAGCGUUGUUCGGAUUUACUGGGCGUAAAGGGCGCGUAGGCGGCGUGGUAAGUCACUUGUGAAAUCUCCGAGCUUAACUCGGAACGGUCAAGUGAUACUGCUGUGCUAGAGUACAGAAGGGGCAAUCGGAAUUCUUGGUGUAGCGGUGAAAUGCGUAGAUAUCGAAG
rnacentral:rRNA from 1 species